rnacentral:rRNA from 1 species
UACGAAGGGGGCUAGCGUUGCUCGGAAUCACUGGGCGUAAAGGGUGCGUAGGCGGUCGGGUAAGUCUGACGUGAAAUCACCAAGCCUAACUUGGAAACUGCGUUGGAUACUAUCCGGCUCGAGGAAUGGAGGGGAGACUGGAAUACUUGGUGUAGCAGUGAAAUGCGUAGAUAUCAAGUGGAACACCAGUGGCGAAGGCGAGUCUCUGGACAUUUCCUGACGCUGAGGCACGAAAGCCAGGGGAGCAAACGGG